UUAUUGGAGAGUUUGAUCCUGGCUCAGGAUGAACGCUGGCGGCGUGCCUAAUACAUGCAAGUCGAGCGAAUGGAUUGAGAGCUUGCUCUUAUGAAGUUAGCGGCGGACGGGUGAGUAACACGUGGGUAACCUGCCCAUAAGACUGGGAUAACUCCGGGAAACCGGGGCUAAUACCGGAUAACAUUUUGAACUGCAUGGUUCGAAAUUGAAAGGCGGCUUCGGCUGUCACUUAUGGAUGGACCCGCGUCGCAUUAGCUAGUUGGUGAGGUAACGGCUCACCAAGGCAACGAUGCGUAGCCGACCUGAGAGGGUGCUCGGCCACACUGGGACUGAGCCACGGCCCAGACUCCUACGCGAGGCAGCAG
rnacentral:rRNA from 1 species